rnacentral:misc_RNA from 1 species
GUUUCGAUUAGAGUGCUUUUUUGUUCAGAUAGCAAAAGACAUUUCAGAUUAAUGCUUUCUGUAACAUUGAACAGAAAAGAGCUGUCUUUUUGUUUGUUUUCAUAUGAUACCUGCAAAGGUUGAGUUGUUAGUGCUUGCUAGUGGGUGCUUUAUGUGUAUUUGUUAGAAAAUGAUGGCAUACUAAUUAGACAGGAAAAUAAAUGAUGAUACGAAUAAUUCUCACAAAAAAGGGAUAAAUCUGCAUUUUGUUGAUAUGUUUGUCA